rnacentral:rRNA from 1 species
GAUGAACGCUGGCGGCGUGCCUAAUACAUGCAAGUCGAGCGAACGGACAAGAAGCUUGCUUCUCUGAUGUUAGCGGCGGACGGGUGAGUAACACGUGGAUAACCUACCUAUAAGACUGGGAUAACUUCGGGAAACCGUAGCUAAUACCGGAUAAUAUUUUGAACCGCAUGGUUCAAAAGUGAAAGACGGUCUUGCUGUCACUUAUAGAUGGAUCCGCGCUGCAUUAGCUAGUUGGUAAGGUAACGGCUUACCAAGGCAACGAUGCAUAGCCGACCUGAGAGGGUGAUCGGCCACUCUGGAACUGAGACACGGUCCAGACUCCUACGGGAGGCAGCAGUAGGGAAUCUUACGCAAUGGGCGAAAGCGUGACGGAGCAACGCCGCGUGAGUGAUGAAGGUCUUCGGAUCGUAAAACUCUGUUAUUAGGGAAGAACAUAUGUGUAAGUAACUGUGCACAUCUUGACGGUACCUAAUCAGAAAGCCACGGCUAACUACGUG